UACGUAGGGUGCGAGCGUUGUCCGGAAUUAUUGGGCGUAAAGAGCUCGUAGGCGGUCUGUCGCGUCGGUCGUGAAAACUUGGGGCUUAACCCUGAGCUUGCGGUCGAUACGGGCAUGACUGGAGUUCGGCAGGGGAGACUGGAAUUCCUGGUGUAGCGGUGAAAUGCGCAGAUAUCAGGAGGAACACCGGUGGCGAAGGCGGGUCUCUGGGCCGAUACUGACGCUGAGGAGCGAAAGCAUGGGGAGCGAACAGG
rnacentral:rRNA from 1 species